rnacentral:rRNA from 1 species
UACGUAGGCAGCGAGCGUUGUUCGGAGUUACUGGGCGUAAAGGGUGUGUAGGCGGCCUAUUAAGUUUGGUGUGAAAUCUCCCGGCUCAACCGGGAGGGUGCGCCGAAAACUGGGAGGCUAGAGUGCGGGAGUGGGAGAGUGGAAUUCCUGGUGUAGCGGUGAAAUGCGUAGAUAUCAGGAGGAACACCGGUGGUGCAGACGGCUCUCUGGACCGUAACUGACGCUGAGACGACGAAAGCGUGGGGUAGCAAACAGG